GACGAACGCUGGCGGCGUGCUUAACACAUGCAAGUCGAGCGGAGCGGCGAACGGGUGAGUAACGCGUGAGUAACUGCCCCCCUCUCCGGGAUAACAGUUGGAAACGGCUGCUAAUACCGGAUAGUGGGGGUUGACUCGCGUCCGAUCAGCUGUUUGGUGGGGUAGUGGCCUACCAAGGCGACGACGGGUGGCCGGCCUGAGAGGGCGACCGGCAACAUUAGGCUGGGAUACGGGCCAAACGCAAACGGGAGGCAGCAGGGGGGACUUUUGCACAAGGGGGCAAACGCUGAUUCAGCAACGCCGCGUGGGGGAUGACGGCCUUUGGGUUGUAAACCGCUUUCAGCCAUAACGCGGUAGUGGCAGAAGAAGCACCGGCUAACUACGUGCCAGCAGCCGCGGUAAUUC
rnacentral:rRNA from 1 species